rnacentral:lncRNA from 1 species
CAGAGACAAUGACAUUACAACUAUUGCUGCCAAUUUGACUGGUUUGCACCGGAGAGACAGGAAAAUCUAGAAAACCAGACAAAGGCUCUGCAGACCAGGAAUCACUGUUUCCCUUGGCAUCACGACUUGAAGUUGGGGGCGGAAGGAAUUGAGACUGAGAAGAUUGUGGCACUGGUAAAGUUGACAUGUCUGUAGAUGAAACGAAAGGAUAACUCGAGUUUUUCUCUUGUAGUGAGACAGGAGUGAACUGGAAGCCAGUUGACAAGCCUGCAGAUGAUGAGAAGAUGGGACCCACUGCACCACUGUGAGAAGACAAAGAGGACCUUGCCGUACGGUCCAUUUCC